GUCUUUUUGAUAAUAAUUUAAAGUCUAAUCUGCCCACUGAUAAUAUAUUAAAGGGCUGCAGUAUAAUGACUGUACAAAGGUAGCAUAAUAAUUAGUUUUUUAAUUGAAAACUAGUAUGAAGGAUUUGAUGAAAUAUUAGCUGUCUCUUAAUUAUUAUUAAAAAUUUAUUUUUUAGUUAAAAAGCUAAAAUAAUUUUAAAAGACGAGAAGACCCUAUAGAGUUUUAUAUUUAAUUUUAUUUUAAUAAUUUAUAAAAAUUAAUAUUAAAAUAAAGUUAAAUAUUGUAUUGGGGUGAUAGAAAAAUUUAAUUAACUUUUUUUAAAUUUUAAACAUAAAUAAAUGAAAAAAUGAUCCAUUAUUAAUGAUUAUAAGAAAAAAUUACCUUAGGGAUAACAGCGUAAUAUUUUUUUUUAGUUCAAAUAAAAAAGAAAGUUUGCGACCUCGAUGUUGGAUUAAGAUAAAAUUUAAAUGCAAAAGUUUAAAAUUUUGAUCUGUUCGAUCAUUAAAAUCUU
rnacentral:rRNA from 1 species